GACGAACGCUGGCGGCGUGCUUAACACAUGCAAGUCGAACGGAAAGGCCCUGCUUUUGUGGGGUGCUCGAGUGGCGAACGGGUGAGUAACACGUGAGUAACCUGCCCUUGACUUUGGGAUAACUUCAGGAAACUGGGGCUAAUACCGGAUAGGAGCUCCUGCUGCAUGGUGGGGGUUGGAAAGUUUCGGCGGUUGGGGAUGGACUCGCGGCUUAUCAGCUUGUUGGUGGGGUAGUGGCUUACCAAGGCUUUGACGGGUAGCCGGCCUGAGAGGGUGACCGGCCACAUUGGGACUGAGAUACGGCCCAGACUCCUACGGGAGGCAGCAGUGGGGAAUAUUGCACAAUGGGCGGAAGCCUGAUGCAGCAACGCCGCGUGCGGGAUGACGGCCUUCGGGUUGUAAACCGCUUUUGCCUGUGACGAAGCGUGAGUGACGGUAAUGGGUAAAGAAGCACCGGCUAACUACGUGCCAGCAGCCGCGGUGAUACGUAGGGUGCGAGCGUUGUCCGGAUUUAUUGGGCGUAAAGGGCUCGUAGGUGGUUGAUCGCGUCGGAAGUGUAAUCUUGGGGCUUAACCCUGAGCGUGCUUUCGAUACGGGUUGACUUGAGGAAGGUAGGGGAGAAUGGAAUUCCUGGUGGAGCGGUGGAAUGCGCAGAUAUCAGGAGGAACACCAGUGGCGAAGGCGGUUCUCUGGGCCUUUCCUGACGCUGAGGAGCGAAAGCGUGGGGAGCGAACAGGCUUAGAUACCCUGGUAGUCCACGCUGUAAACGGUGGGUACUAGGUGUGGGGUCCAUUCCACGGGUUCCGUGCCGUAGCUAACGCUUUAAGUACCCCGCCUGGGGAGUACGGCCGCAAGGCUAAAACUCAAAGGAAUUGACGGGGCCCCGCACAAGCGGCGGAGCAUGCGGAUUAAUUCGAUGCAACGCGUAGAACCUUACCUGGGUUUGACAUGGAUCGGGAGUGCUCAGAGAUGGGUGUGCCUCUUUUGGGGUCGGUUCACAGGUGGUGCAUGGCUGUCGUCAGCUCGUGUCGUGAGAUGUUGGGUUAAGUCCCGCAACGAGCGCAACCCUUGUUCACUGUUGCCAGCACGUUAUGGUGGGGACUCAGUGGAGACCGCCGGGGUCAACUCGGAGGAAGGUGGGGAUGACGUCAAGUCAUCAUGCCCCUUAUGUCCAGGGCUUCACGCAUGCUACAAUGGCUGGUACAGAGAGUGGCGAGCCUGUGAGGGUGAGCGAAUCUCGGAAAGCCGGUCUCAGUUCGGAUUGGGGUCUGCAACUCGACCUCAUGAAGUCGGAGUCGCUAGUAAUCGCAGAUCAGCAACGCUGCGGUGAAUACGUUCCCGGG
rnacentral:rRNA from 1 species